UUUAUCACGCCCUGAAAAAUGCAAUUGAUGAGUAAUAUCGCGCAUGGAUGUGCGAUUAGGCGAAACUAGGCCAUGGAUGGCCUAUCUUCGCCGCUUACGUUCAUAUCAAUUGUGUUUUGAAGGAAAUAGCGU
rfam:Pseudoalteromonas lipolytica SCSIO 04301 genomic scaffold Scaffold1, whole genome shotgun sequence.